UACGGAGGGUGCGAGCGUUGUCCGGAAUCACUGGGCGUAAAGGGCGCGUAGGCGGCCUGAUAAGUAGGGGGGUGAAAAUCCUGCGGCUUAACCGCAGGGCUGCCUUCUAAACUGUCAGGCUCGAGCACAGUAGAGGCAGGUGGAAUUCCCGGUGUAGCGGUGGAAUGCGUAGAGAUCGGGAAGAACAUCAGUGGCGAAGGCGGCCUGCUGGGCUGUUGCUGACGCUGAGACGCGAAAGCGUGGGGAGCAAACAGG
rnacentral:rRNA from 1 species